CCUACGGGAGGCAGCAGUGGGGAAUAUUGCGCAAUGGGCGAAAGCCUGACGCAGCGACGCCGCGUGAGGGAUGAAGGUCUUCGGAUCGUAAACUUCUGUCAGCAGGGAAGAACGGUCUCUGUGCUAAUCAGCAGUGAAUUGACGGUACCUGCAAAGGAAGCACCGGCUAACUCCGUGCCAGCAGCCGCGGUAAUACGUAGGGUGCGAGCGUUGUCCGGAAUUACUGGGUGAAAAGGGAGCGUAGGCGGGACUGCAAGUUGGGUGUAAAAUCUACGGGCUCAACCGGUAGCCGCACUCAAAACUGCAGUGCUUGAGUGAAGUAGAGGCAGGCGGAAUUCCUAGUGUAGCGGUGAAAUGCGUAGAUAUUAGGAGGAACACCAGUGGCGAAGGCGGCCUGCUGGGCAGUGACUGACGCUGAGGCUCGAAAGUGUGGGGAGCAAACAGGAUUAGAUACCCGGGUAGUC
rnacentral:rRNA from 1 species